GAUCAUUAACGCGCAGGCCGGAGGCUGGCCCCCCACGAUAGGAAUCAACGUUCCAUCAGGGGUGUGCAGAUGUGCGCCGGUCUUACGCCCCAUUCUUGUCUACCUUACUCGGUUGCCUCGGCGGGCCGCGCUCUCCUGGGAGAGUCGUCCGGCGAGCCUCUUUGGGGGCUUUAGCUGGAUCGCGCCCGCCGGAGGACAGACAUCAAAAAAUCUUGGAAAGCUGUCAGUCUGAGCGUUAGCAAGUAAAAUUAGUUAAAACUUUCAACAACGGAUCUCUUGGUUCCGGCAUCGAUGAAGAACGCAGCGAAAUGCGAUAAGUAAUGUGAAUUGCAGAAUUCCGUGAAUCAUCGAAUCUUUGAACGCACAUUGCGCCCUCUGGUAUUCCGGGGGGCAUGCCUGUUCGAGCGUCAUUUCAACCCCUCAAGCCCGGCUUGUGUGAUGGACGACCGUCCGACCUCCUCUUUCGGGGGCGGGACGCGCCCGAAAAGCAGUGGCCAGGCCGCGAUCCCGGCUUCCUGGGCGAAUGGGCAGUCAAACCAGCGCCCUCAGGACCGGCCGCUCUGGCCUUCCCCCAAAUCUCUCUGAGAUAUUUUUUCAGGUUGACCUCGGAUCAGGUAGGGAUACCCGCUGAACUUAAGCAUAUCAAUAAGCGGAGGAA
rnacentral:misc_RNA from 1 species